rnacentral:lncRNA from 1 species
UUGUAAUCCUUUAUCUUCCAUGCAAUUACUUUGUACACAAAAAGAGUCAACCAUGAAUCUUUUGAAGGGAAAUUAUUAAUAAAGCAAUUUGAUAUAUUUAGUCAUAAAUUGGUCAAUAAUUGGUUGCCUAAUGUCCAGUGACAAAUAUUUCAUGCAUAUAAACUAUCUACUAGACUACCUAUGGGUACAUACCAGGGGCAGAUCCAGCCAUUUUUAAAAGGUGUUUCAACCAAAGAUGUGGGAGGGGGAUCCAACUGUUUGUACUCAUUCAAAAGCUAGGUUUAGGUUUUAUGUGAAAUUUAAAAAAAUGUUUUCAAGAAUGUAAAGCUUUCACUGCAAUUUAAGAAUUGUCUGCUCUUGGUCAAUUCAUUUUGUCAUCUUACCAUGUAAAUAAGUACAUGUAUAGUAAAACAACGCUUCGUUCAUAUCAAUAAACAUAAUUACAACAG